CCGGAGACUCCAAAGUGAAUUCCAGAUAAGUGAUGGGAUGGAUUGCUUUGAUGGAUUAUGGAAUUUUGAACCAGCUCUGCACAUUUGGAAGACAAAUUAUUUGAUCAUGGGCUGGGGAUGGAACCCGGUGACUCGUACAUGUUAAGCAAGUGCUAUUCUCCCACUGAGCCAUGUCCCAGCUUCUUUAUUCCUUCUUAGUAUCACAGCUUCUGUUGCAAUUCAUUCUUGACAUUGAUGGUGACAGUCCGCUCUUUUAAAAUUUUUGUCAGUGUUCAAAAGAUUUAUCCUUAGAGUGCACUUUGUUACC